AUUGAACGCUGGCGGCAGGCUUAACACAUGCAAGUCGAGCGAGCGGCGGACGGGUGAGUAAUGUCUGGGAAACUGCCUGAUGGAGGGGGAUAACUACUGGAAACGGUAGCUACUACCGCAUACCAUCAGAUGUGCCCAGAGGGGAUUAGCUAGUGGGUGGGGUAAUGGCUCACCAAGGCCACGAUCCCUAGCUGGUCUGAGAGGAGGACCAGCCACACUGGAACUGAGACACGGUCCAGACUCCUACGGGAGGCAGCAGUGGGGAAUAUUGGACAAUGGGCGAAAGCCUGAUCCAGCAACGCCGCGUGUGUGAAGAAGGCCUUCGGGUUGUAAAGCACUUUCGGCAGAGAAGCGUUACCCGCAGAAGAAGCACCGGCUAACUACGUGCCAGCAGCCGCGGUAAUUC
rnacentral:rRNA from 1 species